rnacentral:lncRNA from 1 species
GCGGGAAAAGAUCUUAACCCGUGAUUGCUGGGACUGGCUCAAGCUCCACCAGGAGCCGUCGUUCUUUUACAAAGAGGGGUGGAGGUUCCAGUGGAGGCUGUUGUUGCCUUUUUUUUUUUUUUUUUAAUGAAUGGAGGGCGGCGGCGACUGCUGCAGCUGGGCCAGCUGCGCGGGCUGCACCCCCUCCCAGCCUGCGAGAGGAGGAAGCUAGUAGAAGAUUUGUACCAACAAAACCAAGGAGUAAACAACUUGAGAAUAACUGCAUGAGCUCAGGGCUUGGACUGUCAGAUUCCAUUUCUAAGCUUCCAGAAGAGCGACACAUAGACACUGGGGAAGUCAGAGCCUUUGAACUCCAAUGCCAUCCCCGUCACCCACCUCCACCACCAGCACCACCACCGAAUGGCACUUUGGACAAUUUUUCCCUCUCAUGUGACUUUUGUCAUUUCUUACGUCAGUUGGAGCCAGCACCUCUCAAAUCCAUCUUCUAAAACCCAGAAAAUUGUGUGUAACACAUGAUGACUGAAAGGGAGUAGGCUGACCAGUUAAGAGCCUGCCACUGGAAUGGAAGGCUGUGGGAAGGUGAGGGGACGGUGGACAUCAACCGGGAAGAGCUGAAAGAUGGCGUUACCAGAACAACUUCCAGUAAAAGAAGGCACUGAGGUUUAAGUGCUACGUGGGAGCAGUUGCCGAUUUUUGCAAUGGGAGGCUGCAUAGAUUCAAGUUAUGCUGCAUGCUGUGGAAUGAAGAGGCUGCGGCUCACCAAGGCUCACAAAGACCUUACCACGAUCCCGGGUGUUCAGAAGAGGUGUGUGUUUCUUCCUUCCUCCCUCUCGUCACAGUUGCUGUCCCCCAAGGAAGAGGAAAUGACUUGCUUGUGGAAUCCGUUUGCAAGCAAAUCACUUAUUUGGAACCAAAAAUGGGGGAGAAGGAAGUAGGAGCCAUAGACUCAGGGCUUGAUCAGGAUUCCGCAAGCCUUAGAGUUUUCCACUCCCCACAACAUACCUCUCACCUGGGCCAUUUAGAGGCAUCUCCUGCCUCCCACUCUGUCUCUGCCUGAGGUCUACACUCCGCGCCCCCCCACCACCCCCCAGCCCGACCCCCACUUUAACAGGAUUCAACUCCUUUGUCUGACUGUGACCACAGGUGAUGAGAGCUGGGAGGGCGAGUUGGUUGGCCUUUCUUGCAGCUCCCACAUUCUAAAUCAGGAAGCAUGCAGGAGUGGAGAAUGAACAGCAAGAAUAUACACAGCCUGGAACUUCCAGUCUGAAAUGUCUAGGGCAUUUAGUAUGAAAAAUCUGUUCAUAACUGAAAAAAGAAAACACCUAAUGCAGGAACCAGAAUUUUCUGCAACAAGCAACAUUACCAAAAAAAGACCAGCCAAGAGGGCUUGCCAGAAUUGGCUAUAGAGCGUUAUACCAGGUAAACUCGUCAGAUGGAACCAUGUCUUUCCUUUGGGAGAACACUGACAUUUAGGCUUUGGCUUCUUGAGAUUCUGCUGGAGGACUUUUCAGAGGAAUGCAAUGACUCCUUCCUUCCUCCCUGAACUGAAAUCCGGGCUAUUACAAUUCCAAAUGGACACAGAGUCCUGCCAAGUUUAUAGGAAAUUGGAAUGACAGCUUGGGUUCCCACCACUAGGGAUAGCAGAAGCUGAAUGCUCAGAGAAUAAGUAACAUUUCCCUGGUGAUUCCCAGUGUGUCUAUUUUUAUUUUAAGGAGUUCUGUGUUUUCAUUCAGUUUUGUGAAUGGAGGAAUCCAUAUGGAAUUUUCACCAACUCUACUAAAAUAAAAGCAUGUAACUUUUCAGCAGUGUACUGAAAUAUCCACAAAGAUUCAAGGUUAGGUUGGAAAGAAUUCCAGACAUUCACUUUUGAAGACCUGUGAAAAAUCUGCUAACUUCUAAUGGGUACCUUCUGGGCAUAUGACAAAGGACAAUAUCAGUUGCUAAAUCCAUCCAUGUACAAGAGAUAUUGUCUUCAACAAAGCACAGCUCAUCAUUUAAUAGAAGUUACAAAGUAGUUACUCUAAGAUAAGCAGCU